GAUCCUGGCUCAGGACGAACGCUGGCGGCGCGCCUAACACAUGCAAGUCGAACGAGAGAGAGGAAGCUUGCUUCCUCAAUCGAGUGGCGAACGGGUGAGUAACGCGUGAGGAACCUGCCUCAAAGAGGGGGACAACAGUUGGAAACGACUGGCUAAUACCGCAUAAGCCCACGGGUCGGCAUCGACCAGAGGGAAAAGGAGCAAUCCGCUUUGAGAUGGCCUCGCGUCCGAUUAGCUGGUUGGUGAGG
rnacentral:rRNA from 1 species